rnacentral:rRNA from 1 species
AGUGAACGCUGGCGGUAGGCCUAACACAUGCCAGUCGAACGGCAGCACAGUAAGAGCUUGCUCUUACGGGUGGCGAGUGGCGGACGGGUGAGGAAUACAUCGGAAUCUACUUUUUCGUGGGGGAUAACGUAGGGAAACUUACGCUAAUACCGCAUACGACCUACGGGUGAAAGCAGGGGAUCUUCGGACCUUGCGCGAUUGAAUGAGCCGAUGUCGGAUUAGCUAGUUGGCGGGGUAAAGGCCCACCAAGGCGACGAUCCGUAGCUGGUCUGAGAGGAUGGUCAGCCACACUGGAACUGAGACAGGGUCCAGACUCCUACGGGAGGCAGCAGUGGGGAAUAUUGGACAAUGGGCGCAAGCCUGAUCCAGCCAUACCGCGUGGGUGAAGAAGGCCUUCGGGUUGUAAAGCCCUUUUGUUGGGAAAGAAAAGCAGCAGGUUAAUACCCCGCUGUUCUGACGGUACCCAAAGAAUAAGCACCGGCUAACUUCGUG